rnacentral:rRNA from 1 species
GACGAACCGUGCGAACGUUGUUCGGAAUCACUGGGCAUAAAGGGCGCGUAGGCGGCUUAUCAAGUCAGGGGUGAAAUCCGGCAGCUCAACUGUCGAAGUGCCUUUGAUACUGAUGAGCUCGAGGGAGGUAGGGGUCUGUGGAACUUCCGGUGGAGCGGUGAAAUGCGUUGAUAUCGGAAGGAACGCCGGGUGGCGAAAGCGACGGACUGGACCUCUUCUGACGCUGAGGCGCGAAAGCUAGGGGAGCAAACGGG